AUUGAACGCUGGCGGCAUGCCUUACACAUGCAAGUCGAACGGCAGCACGGGAGCAAUCCUGGUGGCGAGUGGCGAACGGGUGAGUAAUAUAUCGGAACGUGCCCAGUCGUGGGGGAUAACGUAGCGAAAGCUACGCUAAUACCGCAUACGAUCUAUGGAUGAAAGCGGGGGAUCGCAAGCCCUUGCGCGAUUGGCGCGGCCGAUAUCAGAUUAGCUAGUUGGUGAGGUAAAGGCUAACCAAGGCGACGAUCUGUAGCUGGUCUGAGAGGACGACCGGCCACACUGGAACUGAGACACGGUCCAGACUCCUACGGGAGGCAGCAGUGGGGAAUUUUGGACAAUGGGCGCAAGCCUGAUCCAGCAAUGCCGCGUGCAGGAUGAAGGCCUUCGGGUUGUAAACUGCUUUUGUACGGAGCGAAACGGUCUUCUCUAAUACAGGGGGCUAAUGACGGUACCGUAAGAAUAAGCACCGGCUAACUACGUGCCAGCCGCCGCAGUAAGAC
rnacentral:rRNA from 1 species